rnacentral:rRNA from 1 species
UCAGCCGCCGCGGUAAUACCAGCUCUCCGAGUGGUGUGGACGUUUAUUGGGCCUAAAGCAUCCGUAGCUGGCUGAACAAGUCCCCUGUUAAACCCACCGAUUUAAUCGUUGGCGUGCGGGGGAUACUGCUUGGCCAGGGGACGAGAGAAGCAGACGGUAUUCCCGGGGUAGGGGUGAAAUCCUAUAAUCCCGAGAAGACCACCAGUGGCGAAGGCUGUCUGCUAGAACGCGCCCGACGGUGAGGGAUGAAAGCUGGGGGAGCGAACCGGAUUAGAUACCCGGGUAGUCCCAGCUGUAAACGAUGCAGACUAGGUGUUUGGACGGCCACGUGCCGUUCUAGUGCCGCAGGGAAGCUGUUAAGUCUGCCGCCUGGGGAGUACGAUCGCAAGGUUGAAACUUAAAGGAAUUGGCGGGGGAGCACA